AAAUUGAAGAGUUUGAUCAUGGCUCAGAUUGAACGCUGGCGGCAGGCCUAACACAUGCAAGUCGAACGGUAACAGGAAGCAGCUUGCUGCUUCGCUGACGAGUGGCGGACGGGUGAGUAAUGUCUGGGAAACUGCCUGAUGGAGGGGGAUAACUACUGGAAACGGUGGCUAAUACCGCAUAACGUCGCAAGACCAAAGAGGGGGACCUUUGGGCCUCUUGCCAUCAGAUGUGCCCAGAUGGGAUUAGCUUGUU
rnacentral:rRNA from 1 species